CAUUAAGUUUCUUAAACGCAAGUAUUGAUCUCUUAAAUCAAAUUAUAGUAAAUAGCAAUUACUCUUAAUG
rnacentral:tRNA from 1 species